AUGUGCUCAUACACGUCUGCACCCAGCCUGCGGCGACUUGCUCGCUGGCAGGAAGGCGGGCCCGCUUGUCCUGGUUGCAAUCCCAGGAGUUCUCCAGAAGGGUCUGCUCCCUGCUGGCUGGCGCAGAGCCGGGCUGCAGACCCCCUGGGUGCAGGGCCAUUGGGCUGCAGGUGUGGCGGCUUUCAGACGCACCUGUGCUGGGGGCUGGGGGUGGAGCCCUGCUCCAAGGAGGGGGCAGAGUCCAGCCGGGCGUGGGCUGGAGGCCAGGGCUGGGCUCUGUCCAGUAGUUGGCUCCUCCCAGCCAAAGCAAUGCCUUCCCACCCCCACUUUCCAGAUGGAGAAACUGAGGCCGAGAGGUCAGGGGACUUUUCCAAAGUCACACAGCAAGGUGGAGGCAGCACAGCAGAUUCACGGUGGACUCGGAGAGCCCUUGGAGACCUGAACCUUCCUUUCCUGAGAGCCCGAGGCCCGUCCUGACCCUAACUUGUCCCCGGGAAGCCAUCAGCACGCUGGCCUGAGAGGGCCUUGUGGCUCGGGACGCCGGUGAGUGAGCAGACACAGGGCCCUCGUCCUCCCUGGCUCCCUGCGUGCGCCGCGCUCUGGCGUGGGGUCUGGUCAUGGGCACCAUGCCACCUCCCCGGUCAGAGCUGGCAGGUGGUGAUGGCCGGGACAGGAGGGAUGGGGCUGGGGUGGACGGAACUCAGGGUCAUCCUCUGGGCCCCGCCCCGGUGGGGGAGUGCAGAGAGGAGCCAUGAGGGGCAAGGGUCAUGGGCACAAGAGGGGCCCGGGCGGUCCAAGGGAGCCCACUGGCCUCUGGGUAAAGGGCUGGGCUGAGGCUCCGACUCACCUGGCCUCUGGGCACCAGGCGCAGGGACACGUCUUGGCUUGUAGCCUGUGGCCGCUGCUCCUUCCGCUGCCAGCCCUGGGGGGCGGUGGGGUGCGUGGCGGGGCAGACACAGGCCUGGGAAGCCACCUUGGGCCCCAUGCACCCUAGGACUUCUGUUUCUGGUGGUGACAGUNNNNNNNNNNNNNNNNNNNNNNNNNNNNNCUCGCCUUCAGACCGGCCCCCCCCCCCCGAACCGUCCUUGGUGCCUGUGGCCAGGGUAUCAGGGGAUGGGGCUCCCUGUGGCUGGCUCCCCUCCCUGGGCACUGUUGUCAUCUGAGCCUGGAGGUGAGCUGGGUCUGGAUGUCUGUGCCCAGGGCACAAGCCUGCCCUACCCAGGAGCUGGGCCCACCACAUAAGCCGGGACCCCCAGGUGGCAAAGCCCUCAGUGAGGGCUGACCAGAUCGAGAAGGGGGGCUGUGCAAACCUGGGGCCCAGCAUCCCCAGGGGCUGGCACCUGUGACUGCCCUGUGCAUUUGCAGAACUCCCCAUGGAAGUGGCGAGCGUGCGUGUGUGUGUGCGUGCUGUGGGCACAUGGACACAGGUGUGCACCGGCCGAGCAGUCACACCAGUGCUCACUCACAGGCCCACCCCCUCACACAGCAAGGAGCACAGACCACACAGACUUGGUGACCAGCCCUACGGAGCACGUGUGAGCGGACCCAGAGCAGCGGGGAGGGUCUCGUGACUGGGCCCUGUGUCUCCUCCAGGGUACUUGUAACAAGCCCCUCCCCACUACCAGGGGUUCGCCACACACGGAUGCAGAGAGCGCUGACAACCCUCCUGCGAUGGAAGAAACACGCCAGGCAGAGGGGCAAAUCGAGGGAGCUGGGGCUCAGACCCGUGGUUGGGGGUGCCCAGACCCUCAGGGCGGCCGGGCCUCAGCACGCGGAGGAACCCGGCGGCGCGGCUCCGUGAAGCCCGCCCGGUCGGAGAGCCGGCCUCUUCUCCCCCCCGCGGGCUGGGGCCGGCCCAGGGCGGGGGGGGCGCCGAGGGCGCCGGCUCCCCGGGAAUUCCAGGCGCGUGUGUCAGCGCGCUCGGCUUCGCCGCCCCUCGGCCCCCUCGGGCCCCUCGGCGGUUUGGCUCCGAGAGCUGGAUUCCCAAGGGGGCGGGGCGGGGCGGCCCUGGCACCCCGCACCCCCAGAGCGGCCCUGGCACCCCGCACCCCCAGCGGGGCCCUGGCAGGAGCGGGCCUCCCUCUACUCCCUCUCACUUUCUGCGCCCC
rnacentral:lncRNA from 1 species